rnacentral:rRNA from 1 species
GACAGAGGGUGCAAACGUUGUUCGGAAUUACUGGGCGUAAAGCGUGUGUAGGCGGCCACGUAAGUCGGAUGUGAAAGCCCCGGGCUCAACCCGGGAAGUGCACUCGAUACUGCGUGGCUUGAGUACUGGAGAGGUUGGUGGAAUUCUCGGUGUAGAGGUGAAAUUCGUAGAUAUCGAGAGGAACACCGGUGGCGAAAGCGGCUCACUGGAUCGAAACUGACGCUGAGGUGCGAAAGCUAGGGUAGCAAACGGG